rnacentral:rRNA from 1 species
AACGAACGCUGGCGGCAGGCCUAACACAUGCAAGUCGAGCGAUCCUUCGGGAUAGCGGCGGACGGGUGAGUAACGCGUGGGAACAUACCCUUUGCUACGGAACAGUCCCGGGAAACUGGGUUUAAUACCGUAUACGCCCUUCGGGGGAAAGAUUUAUCGGCAAAGGAUUGGCCCGCGUUGGAUUAGGUAGUUGGUGGGGUAAAGGCCUACCAAGCCGACGAUCCAUAGCUGGUUUGAGAGGAUGAUCAGCCACACUGGGACUGAGACACGGCCCAGACUCCUACGGGAGGCAGCAGUGGGGAAUCUUAGACAAUGGGGGCAACCCUGAUCUAGCCAUGCCGCGUGAGUGAUGAAGGCCUUAGGGUUGUAAAGCUCUUUCAGCUGGGAAGAUAAUGACGGUACCAGCAGAAGAAGCCCCGGCUAACUCCGUGCCAGCAGCCGCCGUAACAC